GGGGGGGGGGGGGGGCGGGCGGGGGGCGGGGGGGGCGGGCGGGGCCGUCGGGGCUGGUGGCGCCCGGGUGCGUAACGCGUGGGAACCUGCCCGUAGGUUCGGCAUAACUCCCGGAGCGGGGUUCUACUGCCGGCUACUGUCUUCGGACCACAGAUUUAUCGCCUUGGGAUGUGCCCGCGUGGGAUUAGCUCAUGGGUAGGGUAAAAGCCUACCACGGCGACGAUCCAUAGCUGGUCUGAGAGGAUGAUCAGCCACACUGGGACUGAGACACGGCCCAGACUCCGACGGGAGGCAGGAGUGGGGAAUAGUGGACAAUGGGCGAAAGCCUGAUCCAGCAAUGCCGCGUGAGUGAUGAAGGCCGUAGGGUUGGAAAGCUCUUUUACCCGGGAUGAUAAUGACAGUACCGGGAGAAUAAGCUCCGGCUAACUCCGUG
rnacentral:rRNA from 1 species